GGGCAUGCGGGCAGCCNUACCAUGCAAGUCGAACGGCAGCACGGACAUCUGGCUGGUGGCUGGUGAGCUGACGGAUGAGUGAUGUAUGUCAGCGUGCCUGCUAGAGGGAGAUGGAUACCCACAGGCGUAGCUAACACCUCCCACACCCUACCGGGGAAACCAAGAGAUCGACCUACCUUGCUCUAGUAAACCGACCUAUCUCGAAUUAACUAGUUGGUGGGGGGACGGCUCGCCCACGCAACCAACCAUACCUGGCUGGACAGAACGAACAACCACACUGGCAGUGACACACAGCCCAUACUCAUACCGGAGGCAGGCAUGGGUAAUUUUGAACGAUGGGUGAAACCCUGAUCGAUCCAUCCCUGGUGUGCGAUGAAAGACUGCCGUCUGUUUAUCACU
rnacentral:rRNA from 1 species